rnacentral:rRNA from 1 species
AGGACGAACGCUGGCGGCGUGCUUAACACAUGCAAGUCGAGCGGAAAGGCCCUUCGGGGUACUCGAGCGGCGAACGGGUGAGUAACACGUGAGUAAUCUGCCCCUAGCUCUGGGAUAGCUCCGGGAAACCGGGAUUAAUACCAGAUACGACCACUUUAGACAUCUUCUGUGGUGGAAAGAACUUCGGCUAGGGAUGAACUCGCGGCCUAUCAGCUUGUUGGUGAGGUAACGGCUCACCAAGGCGACGACGGGUAGCCGGCCUGAGAGGGCGACCGGCCACACUGGGACUGAGACACGGCCCAGACUCCUACGGGAGGCAGCAGUGGGGAAUAUUGCGCAAUGGGCGAAAGCCUGACGCAGCGACGCCGCGUGGGGGAUGAAGGCCUUCGGGUUGUAACCCCUUUCAGCAGGGACGAAGCGAAAGUGACGGUACCUGCAGAGAAGCGCCGGCUAACUACGUGCCAGCAGCCGC